AAUAAAAGUAUCCGGUUAUAAUAUUCCUGACAUCUCUAUAGAUUUUUCAGAAUUAAAAAAAAGGUACAAAAUAAACGACUAUCUUCUUGCUAACGUUGCUGAAUUUGGAUUUCCUAUGCCCACACCGAUUCAGAUGCAGGCCAUUCCUUUACUUCUGGAGAAUCGCGAAGUCGUUGCCUGCGCACCAACUGGAUCAGGAAAAACACUGGCCUUUGUUUUACCUCUUUUUGCUUUAUUAC